rnacentral:tRNA from 2 species
GGGGUCGUAGCUCAGCUGGUUAGAGUGCCGGCCUGUCACGCCGGAGGUCGCGAGUUCAAGUCUCGUCGGCCCCGCCA